UUACGAAUGCUCGCAUUACGUUUCGUGCUUAGUGGACCUGGCAACCCUGAAACUAAAGUAUCGAGGAUUCGAUCGGAGCUGCCUAUUGCAGUGAGAUGCGGUGAUUCGGCAGUGUAAUUUUGUCCGUGAGUCCGAUAGGAACUACGAGGAGAGUGCACUGUGUUAGGAGAGUUGUUUGUCCCGCGAACCGAUACUAUUUUUAUCGAAGCUGCUCGAAAUAGAAGCUGCUGUUGAUAAGGUGUCAAUGUUCCGAACGCGACAUGCCUCCUAACAAACUUCGAUAAAAAUAUUUUAUCCACCACAAGCCUUCCGCCAUGGACUGUACGUUGCGAGAACUUUCCCUUCUUGAAGAGAAGAAUAAGUUAUGGCGGAAGGAACACGCAGAAAGAGUGAAGCGUAUGGAACAGUAUUAUGAUCAAGAGAUUGCGAAUAUUGAAGAGGAAUUCAAAAGAGCCGUGCAGAAACUUAAUUCGGAUUUCAGCGCUCAGCGGAAAGCAAUACUACGGCAAAAUAGUAGGUGUGAAGUCAGCAAUGGAGCGAUGGUGGAAUCGAUUCCUUCAAGUGAUAAAACCCAGCCGAAAAAGUACUGCACGAGAGCAGUGGAUCCGAAAAAUGCAGACUCUCCCGAAACAUCUUCACAAACAAAACUCUUGUCGAAGCCAUUUACUGUUUCACAAAGCGCUAUCAACGGCGAUCUAGAGUCUAUAUCUCAUCAAGAGCGCAGAGAGAAAACCGAAAUGCUAUCAGCUGGUUCUCCAACAGCUGUUUCGUUUGUGAGCAUACAAUCUAUGACGUCAGUUGUACACAAGCUGGGGAAGAAGCAGACACGUCAUUCAAUUCCAAAGAAUGAAAUAAUCUACGACCGAGUCUACGACAUCAAUCCCAGAAAAACAACUAUCAACUUGCUCAGGGCUGAAAGUCUCAAAAAUAAAGGAAAAAAAAAAAAAAAAAAACUAUCAACUUUGUGCAGUGCUUCGCUUACGGGGUCUGUGUAAACUACGACGACGCAGAUCAGGUAGCUGACCGAGUGCCGUAUCCUAUGGGGAACGAAAAACAAUGCAUGCGCGGUAGUAAGCAAAGCAAACAUCAUCGUUUGAAACCGUUGUUGUUCGAUCCCGGUGGUUAUCGUUUGAAUGAUUUGAAUGGAGCUCAUCAUUGCAUACAAUCACCAGCACGGAAGAGGAGAAUGAUGAUCCGACUAAUAUGGGACAGGCUUUGCAGCAGAAAUUAUAAUUCCGGAGCAGUGGAUGGAGCCACUUUGUUUCACCCGUGCCUACUACAAUUGCAUACACGGAGGUAUGGUGCUGCCAUCUGGAUGAAGUUUACUGUUUCGCAAACCAUAAUGAGUACUCACAUGGAACAUCGUAUUAACACUAUUUCACAUUCGAGGUUUGGAAGAUCAGUUUGUUACCAGUUCCACGGGGGGGAAUGUUACGAAUGCUCGCAUUACGUUUCGUGCUUAGUGGACCUGGCAACCCUGAAACUAAAGUAUCGAGGAUUCGAUCGGAGCUGCCUAUUGCAGUGAGAUGCGGUGAUUCGGCAGUGUAAUUUUGUCCGUGAGUCCGAUAGGAACUACGAGGAGAGUGCACUGUGUUAGGAGAGUUGUUUGUCCCGCGAACCGAUACUAUUUUGUAAGUUUAAUAUGUAAUGAAAUUGUAAUGAAAACUUUAGCUAAUAAUGAUAAUAAAUUGCAGUAUCGAAGCUGCUCGAAAUAGAA